GGUGCGUAACACGUGAGCAAUCUGCCGGGAAGUGGGGGAUAGCUCGCCGAAAGGCGAAUUAAUACCGCAUGUGGCCAGAGGGGACAUCCCUUCGACGCCAAAGUCGCAAGACGCUUCCUGAUGAACUCGCGGCCUAUCAGCUUGUUGGUGAGGUAACGGCUCACCAAGGCUAUGACGGGUAGCUGGUCUGAGAGGACGACCAGCCACACUGGAACUGAGACACGGUCCAGACACCUACGGGUGGCAGCAGUCGAGAAUUUUUCACAAUGGGGGAAACCCUGAUGGAGCGACGCCGCGUGGAGGAUGAAGGUCUUCGGAUUGUAAACUCCUGUCAUGCGAGAACAAGAAAGUGAUAGUAUCGCAAGAGGAAGAGACGGCUAACUCUGUGCCAGCAGCCGCGGUAAUACAGAGGUCUCAAGCGUUGUUCGGAUUCAUUGGGCGUAAAGGGUGCGUAGGCGGCGUGGUAAGUUGAGUGUGAAAUCCUAGGGCUUAACCUUAGAACUGCACUCAAUACUGCCAUGCUAGAGGAAUGUAGAGGAGAGUGGAAUUCACGGUGUAGCAGUGAAAUGCGUAGAUAUCGUGAGGAAGACCAGUUGCGAAGGCGACUCUCUGGGCAUUUCCUGACGCUGAGGCACGAAGGCCAGGGGAGCAAACGGGAUUAGAUACCCCGGUAGUCCUGGCAGUAAACGGUGCACGUUUGGUGUGGGCGGGUUCAGACCCCGUCCGUGCCGGAGCUAACGCG
rnacentral:rRNA from 1 species